rnacentral:rRNA from 1 species
UACGGAGGAUGCGAGCGUUAUCCGGAUUUAUUGGGUUUAAAGGGUGCGUAGGCGGAUCGUUAAGUCAGUGGUCAAAUUGAGGGGCUCAACCCCUUCCCGCCAUUGAAACUGGCGCUCUUGAGUGGAAGAGAAGUAUGCGGAAUGCGUGGUGUAGCGGUGAAAUGCAUAGAUAUCACGCAGAACCCCGAUUGCGAAGGCAGCAUGCCGGCUUCCGACUGACGCUGGAGCACGAAAGCGUGGGGAUCGAACAGG